GCACUAGUGGAAGAGGGGGAAGAAUUUGAGAAAGCGUCUAAAUUGACAGGACCUGGAGAAGCCUCCAGUGGAGGACAGUCACUGAAAAACUACCUGGAAGAAGAUGAAUCUUUAAAGCAAUUGCAAGUAGUUCAUCAGCCAUGGAUCUUGCCAAGUGACACAGAAAGUGAAGGAGUAGAAGCAGAACAAGAUAAACGUUCUGCUGAUCUUCUCCUUUGUGUCCCAUGCUCCUCUUGUCCUACACUGGUCUACUCUGGUAUGUUUGCUCAGGGCACUUAAUACCAAUGUCAGGUCUGUGAAGCAGGCAGAAGUUCCAGGUGGUCCUUAAAGAAAUUGCAAUUAUUCAAAUCCUUAUGUAUAGUUCUAAUUUUAUUUACUAUGUGUAAUCACUUAGAGAAUGGUUAUUUUUAUAAUAUCAAUAAUAAACAAGUACUCUUGUAACCAGGGGGUGCCUAAAGGUGUAAUCAGAGAACACUAACCCUGGCAAAGGAUUCUGGGGUGGUCAGGAUGUCUGCUGCCUUUUGACAUGGUUAGUGUCCUGGAUUUAGAUUACUUUAUACCCAGUUAUUAAGAUUACUAUUUGAUACAUUAAAUAUUGCCUGAUUCAA